rnacentral:lncRNA from 1 species
UAUCCCUUCGAGAGUGCUAGCUUACAUAGAGAUUAAUUUGAUGAUCGAUCUUGAUCCUUCUUCAACUCUCUCAGACUCCUCUGAGAAUCAGAAAGACACUAAAGAGGAUGUAAAGUGGAAGAAGAAAAGCUAAGAGAAGACUCUCCACUAUUGAUUUUCUCUCUUUUCUUAUAAUCCUAGAGUAGAAACCCUAAGGGAUCCACCCUAGUACCUCACG